rnacentral:rRNA from 1 species
UACGUAGGGUGCAAGCGUUGUCCGGAAUUAUUGGGCGUAAAGAGCUCGUAGGCGGUUUGUCGCGUCGGCUGUGAAAACCUGGGGCUCAACCCCGGGCCUGCAGCCGAUACGGGCAAACUAGAAUUCGGUAGGGGAGACUGGAAUUCCUGGUGUAGCGGUGAAAUGCGCAGAUAUCAGGAGGAACACCGGUGGCGAAGGCGGUUCUCUGGGCCUGUACUGACGCUGAGGAGCGAAAGCGUGGGGAGCGAACAGG